UAGGGAAUCUUCCACAAUGGACGAAAGUCUGAUGGAGCAACGCCGCGUGAGUGAAGAAGGUUUUCGGAUCGUAAAGCUCUGUUGUUGGUGAAGAAGGAUAGAGGCAGUAACUGGUCUUUAUUUGACGGUAAUCAACUAGAAAGUCACGGCUAACUACGUGCCAGCAG
rnacentral:rRNA from 1 species